CCAAUAGCGUAUAUUAAAGUUGUUGCAGUUAAAAAGCUCGUAGUUGAACUUCGGGGUUUACCCAUUGGUCAGGCUUAAUUGUCUGCACUGGUGAGAUGAAUCUCUACCUUCUGAGGAACUUUCAUGCCAUUUAUUUGGUGUGAUGGGAAAUCAGGACUGUUACUUUGAAAAAAUUAGAGUGUUUAAAGCAGGCUAACGUCUGAAUACAUUAGCAUGGAAUAAUGAAAUAGGACGGACUGAUUCUAUUUCGUUGGUUUCUAGGGUCACCGUAAUGAUUAAUAGGGAUAGUUGGGGGCAUUAGUAUUCAAUUGUCAGAGGUGAAAUUCUUGGAUUUAUUGAAGACUAACUACUGCGAAAGCAUUUGCCAAGGAUGUUUUCAUUAAUCAAGAACGAAAGUUAGGGGAUCGAAGACGAUCAGAUACCGUCGUAGUCUUAACCAUAAACUAUGCCGACUAGGGAUCGGACGAAGUUAAUUUUAUAAUGACGCGUUCGGCACCUUACG
rnacentral:rRNA from 1 species